rnacentral:rRNA from 1 species
UGGGGAAUCUUGCGCAAUGGGCGAAAGCCUGACGCAGCCAUGCCGCGUGAAUGAUGAAGGUCUUAGGAUUGUAAAAUUCUUUCACCGGGGACGAUAAUGACGGUACCCGGAGAAGAAGCCCCGGCUAACUUCGUGCCAGCAGCCGCGGUAAUCGAAGGGGGCUAGCGUUGCUCGGAAUUACUGGGCGUAAAGGGAGCGUAGGCGGACAUUUAAGUCAGGGGUGAAAUCCCGGGCUCAACCUCGGAAUCCUUUGAUACUGGGUGUCUUGAGUGUGAGAGAGGUAUGUGGAACUCCGAGUGUAGAGGUGAAAUUCGUAGAUAUUCGGAAGAACACCAGUGGCGAAGGCGACAUACUGGCUCAUUACUGACGCU